rnacentral:lncRNA from 1 species
UGGAAAAUAAUUUGCAAGUUUUUUUGUGUAAAGCCCCAGCUCAAACGAGGAAUGAGAGUUCAUACGAGUUGGCAGUCACGUGACCUUGGUUAGCUGUUCUUAGGGGCUGAUUACAUGGAGAGUUUUCAGCCUGGGCUGAGUUUCAUCCCGGUUUCCCGGGCUGAAAUUUCAGCCCGGCCAAUUUCAGCCCGGCCUAAGGAUAAAAUCCUAUUAAAACUGCAAGCGAUUACGUGACCAAAAUUCCAGUCCGGGCUGAAAUUUCAGCCCGGUUGGAGCUGCCCGUGCUGAAACUCAGCCCGGCAGCAUGUAAUCGCAAAUAAUUUCCGCCCGGGCUAAAAAACAACCGUUUUUGCCCAAUGGCUUUAUUUUGCGUGUUUGUUUGAUCUUUAAAUACUUUACAUAUAUACAUGACUUUACACAAGUCAAAUAGUCGACUAAUCAGCGUCUGAUUGCUUUAAUAAAGAAGCGUAACAGACUUAUUGUAUUAUUGCGUGACACUCAGAUUAUUUCAGCCCGGGCUGACAUUUCAGCCCGGGUUGACUAUAAAUAUAGCUCUGACUAAACUCAGCCCGGGCUCAAACUGCUCAUGUAAUCGUCAUGCAAUUUCAGCUCGUGGUUUAACCGGGCUGAAACUCAGCCCGGGCUGAAAACUCUCCAUGUAAUCAGCCCCUAAUGCUUUCACUAUAUUUCCCAACAAUAUCAUGUAUUCAUUGUAUUUAAGUUGAAACAUAGUUGGAACACUCGUCAAACCUUUAUUUUCUUAAUCCUAUCCUCGUUUGACUGGCCCUUAAAAUAAUUCUCACAAUCAUUCGUAAUUACACUAUAUGGUCAGUAAUUACGUCGCAUGUGUCAGGAAAUUGUACGAUUGAAAUAAGCGAAAUAAUGUAAUGAACUCCAUAUUUAUUUGAUGACGUUUUUUUAUGUUUUCAUUACCUACCUCGUACCCAGGUCCCAGGUGGCAUAUGCGAUACUGUAACACGUGCACCAUGAACUGGGGACUAGUCUGUACAAUAUCAUAGUGGUAUAUUGUCCAGACCAGGAAAAUAUGUUUAAUUGGCUUGGUUUCGAAGGCUGAAUAAAGUUUUUGACAACGAUUAAAACCAUCUAGUACAUACCCACUUAAACGGUAAAUCGCGUAUUUUGUGCUCACGAUGAGCGGAAAAUAUAUAUUAUCGAAAAUAUAUAUUUUUAAAUUAGUUUUGCUUAUCAAAAUAUGAUAAACUCUAAAUUUGUCUCAAUAGAAUUCGUAUUCAUUCCUGUAUAGCAUUACAUAUACAUAUAUACAACAUGAAAAAUUGUUUAUUUUUUAUCCGAGCAUGCAAUUAAGAUAAUUACAGUAUUGGUCAUAUACUAUAUUAAUUAUUAAGUCGUAUAUAUAGAUUUUUUAUCAAUAGAAAGUCCUUGGCAAAAAUAACAUUUACAUACUGAAGAAACUUGAAACUUUAUUGAAAAUAGUUUUAUUUACUUUUAUAAUAUUAUAAAAGUUUUGAAUUUGGACCAACUAUCCGUCAAUAAAAUACAGAUGAAAUGUACACUUACAGAAACGAAAUGAUGGCGACCUCGACAGCAGUUACUUUAUUUGUGAACUCAUUAGUCAUUCGUAUUAAAAUUAAAAUGAAAAGCACUGAUGACCAAUCUCUAUUUAAACAAUACACCUCAUUUGCCACCAAUUACCGGACGCUGUUACAACCUCAUUAACAUGUGAGCAACAAUACAUUGUCCGCUUGUGGUGGUCACAUGCCCUAGCCGCUAUUCGGCUGGUUAUUUUUGCAGGUUUCGGCUGGUUGGUUUUGCACGUUCAUGGCAUAAAUUGCGCAUAUGUAUAAUGAUUUUCUUUAGAAUCCUAAUCGCUGACAUUUACACAGGGUUAGCCCCUGGAACGAGUCCUAUCUGUUGUCAAGGUUCCUUGCAAUUGAUCCUAAAUGUGUUUCAGUUUUCUUCUGUAAUAGAUGCACAACCGCAUCAGUUAUAGAAUAUCUUCAAUCAAUAGAUGCACAACCGCAUCAGUUAUAGAAUAUCUUCAUGUUGGUAAUGAUUAUUGAAUCUAGACGAAUUAAAAACAUUUGCCGCUUCCUGGAUUGCCAACUCGCGUGAGGGUUGAUUGAGUUAUCAAUUAUAUUAUACCUCAUAUUCAAAUUGUCCAAUCAAAAAACAGAAUUUGUACCACGUCACAAUGUGAUUUUUUACGGUAUUUCACUCAAAUUCAUGAUUUCGCAAUGCAGCGUGAGAUACUAUAAUAUCCCACGGUAGAUCCAAGGGGUAUUAUAGUAUGUGACGCCUGGAGACCACACUCUGAAACAAUAUGCCGUUCGCUAGCUGUUGUUUGUAAUUUCGUACAAAAGAUUUAUGGAUUUAACCAAAGACUUUCAAGACGUAUGUUAUCUUCAAUGAUCCAAAGGAUACAUGCUCAAAUAUUUUAAAGACAAAACGUCAAAAACUCAGGAAAACAUAAGAAAUUAAAAAUUCUAUUCGCUUGGUUAAUAUAAUUAAGUUUAUUCUGAACUUACAGGGUGUAUCAAAAAAAGUAAGACAAUUUUGAAAUUGCUCUCAAUUCCAC